rnacentral:rRNA from 1 species
ACUCAAAGGAAUUGACGGGGGCCCGCACAAGCAGUGGAGUAUGUGGUUUAAUUCGAAGCAACGCGAAGAACCUUACCAGGGCUUGACAUAUAGAUGAAUAUUCAAGAGAUUGAAUAGCCAUUCGUGGCAUCUAUACAGGUGGUGCAUGGUUGUCGUCAGCUCGUGUCGUGAGAUGUUGGGUUAAGUCCCGCAACGAGCGCAACCCCUGUGAUUAGUUGCUAACAAGUGAAGUUGAGAACUCUAAUCAGACUGCCGUUGAUAAAACGGAGGAAGGUGGGGAUGACGUCAAAUCAUCAUGCCCUAUAUGUCCUGGGCAACACACGUACUACAAUGGUAGUGGACAGAGAGAAGCGAAGUAGCGAUACUAAGCGAAACUUAUAAAAGCUAUCCCAGUUCGGAUUGCAGGCUGAAAUUCGCCUGCAUGAAGCCGGAAUUGCUAGUAAUGGCAGGUCAGCAUACUGCCGUGAAUACGUUCCCGGGCCUUGUACACACCGCCCGU